AGAUUUUUCUUGAUAUUGCAUGUUUUUCCUUCCAUGAGGAGGAGAUUAAUGCAUCUUACAUGUGGAAAAUGCAACUUUUUUCCAAAAGUAGAAAUUGAAGUCCUCAGUUCUCUGUCAUUGAUAAAUAUUACGAAGGAUGGCAGGUUAUGGAUGCAUGACUUGCUAAAAGACCUAGGACGCCAAAUUGUCCAUGAGGAAAACCUGGAUCCGGGAAAGCAAAGCAGAUUGUGGAUUUCUGAGGAAGCUGUGGACAUGAUGUAAACAAGAGAGAAUAAAGGAAUUACUGAAGCACUCAGUCUAGCUGGAGAUCCUACUCUACUCAUCUUUACUGAUGAAGAUUUCUCGAGGAUGCCAAAUCUAAGAUUCCUUGAAUAGAUGGGGGCAGCUUUAUUGGGGAUUUUACCAACCUCUUUUCGAAGUUAAGAUGGUUUUCUUGGUGCCAUUGUCCUCCAGAUUUAAUUGCAACUAAUCUGUUCCCACAAAACUUGGUUGUCCUCCAACUCUCCGAAUUUAAUGACGCCACUGAUUGGGAGGGGUGGAACCAGAUUAAGAUGCUGCACAAUUUAAAAGUUCUACAACUUACACGUCUAAACAUGAUAAGAAUUGACUUGUCCGGGUGUUUUACUCUAGAAAGAUUGAUCAUUAAAUUAUGUCGACAAUUGGUUGACAUUGAUCGUUCCAUUGGGGAUCUAAAACGACUGGCUUACUUGAAUAUUGAGGGUUGCCACCGACUAAAAGAUCUGCCUGACGACAUUGGCCUGCUGGUGAACCUAAACCACUUAUCUGAGUAAUUGCU